AUUGAACGCUGGCGGCAUGCUUUACACAUGCAAGUCGAACGGCAGCGCGGGCUUCGGCCUGGCGGCGAGUGGCGAACGGGUGAGUAAUACAUCGGAACGUGCCCAGUAGUGGGGGAUAGCUCGGCGAAAGCCGGAUUAAUACCGCAUACGACCUGAGGGUGAAAGCGGGGGAUCUUCGGACCUCGCGCUAUUGGAGCGGCCGAUGGCAGAUUAGCUAGUUGGUGGGGUAAAGGCCUAUCAAGGCGACGAUCUGUAGCUGGUCUGAGAGGACGACCAGCCACACUGGGACUGAGACACGGCCCAGACUCCUACGGGAGGCAGCAGUGGGGAAUUUUGGACAAUGGGCGAAAGCCUGAUCCAGCAAUGCCGCGUGUGUGAUGAAGGCCUUCGGGUUGUAAAGCACUUUUGGCGGGAACGAAAAGGACUGUGCCAAUACCACGGUUCGAUGACGGUACCCGCAGAAUAAGCACCGGCUAACUACGUG
rnacentral:rRNA from 1 species